rnacentral:rRNA from 1 species
UCCACCUACGGGAGGCAGCAGUGGGGAAUAUUGCACAAUGGGGGGAACCCUGAUGCAGCGACGCCGCGUGGGUGAAGGAGUACUUCGGUACGUAAAGCCCUAUCAGCAGGGAAGAAAAUGACGGUACCUGAAGAAGAAGCCCCGGCUAACUACGUGCCAGCAGCCGCGGUAAUACGUAGGGGGCAAGCGUUAUCCGGAUUUACUGGGUGUAAAGGGGACGCAGACGGCGAUGCAAGCCAGGAGUGAAAGCCCGGGGCCCAACCCCGGGACUGCUCUUGGAACUGCGUGGCUGGAGUGCAGGAGGG